rnacentral:lncRNA from 1 species
AUUCACAAUCCUAAACUUAAGGACAUAUAUUCUCAUUAAAUCUACAAGCAUAACACUCAACCCAAUUGGGGGGAAGGGUAUCAAUAUACACAUGAACACAAACUCCCCUCAAUUUGUUUUUGUAUAUAAGGAUACUAAAUUAUUUCUAGAGCAUCCCCCUUUAGGGACACUAAUCAAAACUUCCUUCACCCCCAAAGUCGUCUAUUUAUGACUGAUAUUAUCAUGGGCAUGAACAUCCAUUCUUUUAAACCCUUAACACUCCAUCUUUAACUCCUUAGAAUACUAGCAUUACACUUCUAAUAAUCACAUAACUUACAACUCAGCAACAUUUAUAAAACUAUUCCAAAGGUGCAUAUCUCUUACCCAUAUUUCCUUAAUUCAACUCUAAAUAACGCUAUAUAAGAACUCCCAGACUUCUC